CCAGCGAGCAGGCUCGCUUCUCCCUCGCGGACGCUCCUAUGGCUGACUCUGCCGCCCUUUCCCCUUCCUCAGGGCUGCCGCUGCCUCCGCUUCUGCUCGCCUGGAUUUGCACCGCCGCCGCCGCUCUCCUCUUCGGGAUCGCGGCGGCCUGGCGUUGGCAGCGGAGCCGUCGAAGCAGCCGCCCGCGGCUAAAACUGGUGGGGACGGUGGCUGCUCUCUUCAUCUACCCGGUCAAAUCCUGCCGGGGGGUGGCUGUGAAGCGAGCCGAGAUGACCUCGCUGGGCCUUCGGGGCGAGAAGCUGCGGGAUCGAUUUUGGACUGUGAUAAAAAAAGAUGGACAAAUGAUAUCAGCUAAGAACAUUCCUCGCAUGAUUCUAAUUAGUGUAUCCUGUGAAGAUGACUAUUUAAUCCUGAAUGCCCCAGGAAUGAAGACACUGCAAAUUCCUCUUGAGCUCCCACAGACAAAUUCAAUCUGGAAUUGCAGACGAUUUGGACUCCAAACUCAAGGCAGGGACUGUGGAGAUGAAGCAGCUGAAUGGAUCACUACUUUCUUGAACAGAGAGCAUUAUCGGUUGGUCCAUUAUGAAACAAAUAUGGUGACAAGAAAGCCAUGUGAUUUCUUGCCUGCUUUUCUACCAAAAGAUGAGGUUGCCUAUGCUGAAGGCAGUCCACUCUUGCUGAUUUCUGAAGCUUCCUUGGAUGAUCUAAAUACAAGGUUAGAAAAGAAAGCUUCAAUAACUAUCUUCCGGCCAAACAUUGUUAUUAAAGACUGUAGUCCUUACGAAGAAGAUUCUUGGGUUGACAUAUUAAUUGGAACUGUUAAGUUGAAAGGAAAAAUGUCAUGUCCAAGGUGCAUUUUCACAGCAGUGGAUCCAGAUACUGGGACCAUGGGUGAAAAGGAAGUCCUAAAAGCCCUGAAAAGUUAUCGCAAGUGUAAUCCUUCUGAAGAACAUGACUAUAAGUCUAAUCCUCCUUUUGGAUGGCUAUAUGGAGUUGACGAAACGGGAAUAUUUGAAGUAGGGGAUCCUGUGUACAAGAUAAUCUCAUGAUGGGAGGCACCUGUGCAGUGGAGUGUAAUUUUUCUGUAUAUUGAUCAUGUACUCAUUUUUUAAGAUCAUUUUUUUCCUUCUUUCUUAAUUGGGUACUUAUCCAUUGUAGGCAGUUGCAUGUAGUCAUUAAGGGUCAUCACCAGUUUGUUGGCAAAUCAUCACUGUCGUCAUGACUGAGAAUCUACCUCAACACAUCAUCAUCACAAUUCAAACAUUCAGUUAUGUCCCUUUACUGCUUCAAGCAAAAUUUGAAUGAAGGGCAAACUGCAUGAAUAACAAAUAAGAGAACAUUUUUCAGUCAGUAUUCUUAAUGAAAUACAGGAAGUAUUUGAGGGUUAAAGAACAAGCUGAAACUUUAUGAAGGGAGUCUAUGCACUGAAGAGUUUUGAUGACUUCUGAUCUAGGCUGGACAAGGAAUAAUGGAUGGAAACUGAACAAGGAGAGAUUUAACCUGGAAAUAAG